rnacentral:misc_RNA from 1 species
GAAAUGCGAUAAGUAGUGUGAAUUGCAGAAUUCAGUGAAUCAUCGAAUCUUUGAACGCACAUUGCGCCUCCUGGUAUUCCGGGAGGCAUGCCUGUUCGAGCGUCAUUAAAACCACUCAAGCUACUAAGCUUGGUCAUGAGGAAUGUAUUCACAUCUUUGUGGUUACCUCUUCAAAAUUGAAUGGCUGAGUUAUCCUUGGAUUACAGCGUAGUAACAUUCGAAACUCGCUAGGAUUGAGGAGACCGUCAUGCCCCCAACCCCCAAUUUACUUAUGGUUGACCUCGGAUCAGGUAGGGAUACCCGCUGAACUUAA